AGAGUUUGAUCCUGGCUCAGAGCGAACGCUGGCGGCAGGCUUAACACAUGCAAGUCGAGCGCCCCGCAAGGGGAGCGGCAGACGGGAGAGUAACACGUGGGAACGUACCCUUCAGUUCGGAACAACCCAGGGAAACUUGGGCUAAUACCGAAUACGUCCGUAAGGAGAAAGAUUUAUCGCUGAAGGAUCGGCCCGCGCCUGAUUAGCUAGUUGGUGGGGUAACGGCCCACCAAGGCUACGAUCAGUAGCUGGUCUGAGAGGAUGAUCAGCCUCACUGGGACUGAGACACGGCCCAGACUCCUACGGGAGGCAGCAGUGGGGAAUAUUGGACAAUGGGCGCAAGCCUGAUCCAGCCAUGCCGCGUGGGUGAUGAAGGCCCUAGGGUUGUAAAGCCCUUUCGGCGGGGAAGAUAAUGACG
rnacentral:rRNA from 1 species